UACGGGAGGCAGCAGGGGGAAUAUUGCACAAUGGGCGCAAGCCUGAUGCAGCCAUGCCGCGUGUAUGAAGAAGGCCUUCGGGUUGUAAAGUACUUUCAGUCGUGAGGAAGGUGUUAAGGUUAAUAACCUUAGCAAUUGACGUUAGCGACAGAAGAAGCACCGGCUAACUCCGUGCCAGCAGCCGCGGUAAUACGGAGGGUGCGAGCGUUAAUCGGAAUUACUGGGCGUAAAGGGCACGCAGGCGGUUAAUUAAGUUGGAUGUGAAAUCCCCGGGCUUAACCUGGGAAUGGCAUUCAAGACUGGUUAGCUAGAGUCUUGUAGAGGGGGUUAGAAUUCCAUGUGUAGCGGUGAAAUGCGUAGAGAUGUGGAGGAAUACCGGUGGCGAAGGCGGCCCCUGGACAAAGGACUGACGCUCAUGUGCGAAAGCGUGGGGAGCAAACG
rnacentral:rRNA from 1 species